GUGGAUGUAGCUCAGUUGGUAGAGCACUGGGUUGUGGCCCCAGAUGCCGAGGGUUCGAGUCCCUUCAUCCACCCCA
rnacentral:tRNA from 1 species